CUCUUAUGUUCAGAGAUGAGCAGCAAGAAACUAGAAGAGUGGCAAACACCACACCAGAUGCUACAGGAUACAUACAGAGCCCUUAAAGGAAGAUACGAAACAAACCUGGACUGUUUUACACUGGCAAAAAACCAAUUGAUGGAUACUUAUUUAAGUCAGUGAGCAUAAACUGGACUGCAGAAACACGCAUGGUUGAAAGUGCAAGUGUGCUCUUGUGCUUUGGUAACUACACAGUCAUAGAUUUGGGCCAUGCCAUAUGUCCCUGAAAAUGUGGACUCUGCUUGACCAAAGCAGUCUGAAAACAAAAGGUAAAGAAGUAUUAUACAUACCCUUGAACUUCACAUAAAUCAAUGUUUGUUGCCCCAGAAGUGGAUGGUGUAUUGCAUCAAAAAGCAUUGGUUAUACUGUUUGGCUUAAGUUCAAAACCUGCCACUAAACAUUAGAGGAAUUCAGUUUUGAGGCUUUUUAUGAAAAUUAGACAUGAGAAAAUUCAGCCUUGAUAUAAUUAGCCAUUGCUUAGUCAAGGCAGAUCUGGUAACAUUAAUUAAACUUAAGCCAGCAAAUAAUAAGAGUAUCUGAUAUUCUGGUGUUAAUAGUGUUAGUUACACUUACGGAAUUUCAAGCCAAAGUCUUUAAAAUUUUGCACUUUCACUGUUUUAGUUCGAACACAUGAAAGCAGGCAUGCUCUUCAUGACUUCUAAGGCAGAAGGUGAGUGUUACUCAACUGUGCCAUCUUGUUGAACAACAGCAUGUAAGAACACUUGUUUUGCCAAGAUCAUCAAUGUAGUUAUCAUUUUAGAUUGCAGUUUACAUACUUCUCGUGUGCUUAUUAGCUGUUUCUUUCCUUGUCAACACUAUGAUUAGUGUUAUUAAUUAAUGGCAUAACAACAACAACAACAACAACAAAAAGAUAUGUGAAAAUUGGCUGGUCUUUUCUCUAUGCCAAAAAAAAUAUGGAUAUGGAAGUCAGCAUGUAGAACUGCAGUUCUUUAUGGGACAGAAGAAUCUAGCUCUUUAAGUCUUUGCAUUUAAGUCUUUAAAUGCCUGAGGCUGUGAUGUAAGGUAUAUGGUCAAAUAUGCAAAUAGGACCAGAAUAUUAAGAAUUUAUUCCUUAUUCUUUUGUUUUCAUAUGAACACUAGCUACUUCAGUGUAGAAAUAACUCUUGUUACAGACAAAAUAAGGUAUUAGACAGUGUAACUUAAGUUCUCAGUGGGAAAAUUUUUGAAUUGCUUUGAAUUUUCCUUUACCUGAAGGUUAUGAAAAUGUAAAGUUGUAUAGAUGUCUAAGGACUCAAUUCUAGCUUCUGUGACAAGGUCAGCACUGAUUAAGUCCUAAGGAGAGAUAGAACAGACUUCUGAGGAGCAGACUAAGUAUAUAUUAAAUUAAUUGUUAGCAUAUUUAAACUUGGAAGAAACCUGAAGGAGAAUCCAAAGCAUUUCGUGAAGUUACCAACAACACUGGUACAGCUAUACACAAUUUCUCUGAACAGGAUUAAUUCAACCCACACUUCUGGGAAAGGGCUGAGGUCAACACAUGUAUUUUUAUAGAUCAGUGGAAAACAGUCAAUGUGUCUGACGUCUGUCCUGUUCUGUCCUUGUGUGCCCCAGUGGUGCUGCUGUGGGAAAUGGCCCCAUUCCCUUCCAUUCUGCUCUGGAGGGGUCUUUCUUCUGGAUGAAGGGGACAGUAUUACUGUUGCAACUUCAAAUUAAACCCUCCUGCUCUUUUCAGAGGUGCAUGUUCUGGCUAGAGGCUGUUUGUUUGUUACAAACAGGUGUCAGAGUCACAAAACAGCCGCAGAAGAAAGGGAAGAAUAACAUUGCAGUUGUAUUGCAUUCCCCAUUUAGGACAUUUUUGCAUUUCUUAAAGAAGAGGCAAUGACAUUCAGCUAAUUCAAACACACAUGGGUGUUGUGAUUAUAACAUUAACAUUUGUGAAGACUAGAAAGCUCCACAGAAGGAAAGUCCACCUCUGGAAGUAUGAACCAUCUGUGCUCCACAGCUGAUGGCAGGUUGAACCUGUGAAGGGUGAUAUUUGCAUAGAGGAUGUGGCCUCAUUGUUACAAGUGCAUUAAGCUUUACAUCGCUGUAAAGUCAGAGUUUGGCAAACACUCAUCUGGACGGUGGUUUCAAAACUCCACCCUCAUUUCAGUAGAUUCUUCUCAGCUGGGCUGAGGCAACUGUUAAUGAGGCCAUGUAAUGAAGUGUUGAGGUUGAAAAUGCCUCAGAUGAUACAGAGAAGGGGAAGGGGGUUUUGUAAUUAGGUACAUGAACCAGCAAAACUGGCUAGUUUAGUCAGCAUGUCUGAUUUAAGAGAUGCUUGUCAAACUACACCCCAGUUCUGUGGCUGUCCUUAUCAUCAAGAACUGCCAAAUCAUCUCUUUCAUCAUUGGUUACUCCCAUUCCUGAGUUCCAUUUCUGAGCACAGGGCAAUGAGUACACGAGGACCUGCAAAAAAAUCCUAAAAAACAUCUGCCAGCAUUCCUGACUGCUGCCUGUGGAAAAAAAUCAAAAUAUGCCCAUGAUGUAAAGGUCAGGAACUGAGCAUCCACACUGUAGACAACCCUCCUUAAAAAAAAACCUAUGCAAAAGUAGUCAAACAACUUUUUAAU